rnacentral:misc_RNA from 1 species
AAGCGAGUUCUCCCGUUCUAAAAUACCAUAACAUCUUCAUCUCAUAGUAAGCUGGCAGCUGCUUAUAAACUAUGCAUCCGAAGAAGAACUAUUUUCUGCAACCGUUGUGCGUAUAAUGGAUAGUUCUUGACUGUUAAUUAUAAUGUCAUUCACAUGAGAUUUACUAUAAUUAAUGUUUAUAAUACAACUGUUGUACAUACGAUGAUUGCAUUCCGCUCAUAUCCGAAUCGUGAAUCUUGUAGUAUUUUGUUUUUCUUGAUACAAGCAAUACAUAGUAAACAAGAGUUUCUUAUCAAUAAAUUUAACAAAUUUUUCGUGAUUAUCUAGAUUCUGCUCCUCAUUGAAGGCCAGUGUCAUGAGUCCUCCAAAUGAUGAUCAGUCUCGUCAUAGAUCUCCUCCUGUAAAAGCUCUUCAAUGACAUCUUCCAUUGUUAUUAUGCCUACAGCUUCUUCUUCUUCAGGAAUUUGAGGAAGUGGAUUGUCAUUUAUAUGCAAGAUGUCUGAGUCAAUGUCCUUUGUCCACUUCUUGCUCCUUGAGCCCUUAAAUGAAUUGCUUCCCUUAAAUGAAUUGCUUCUACUACUGGGAAAGCUCCUCCGCCUUCUGAUCUUUAAAGCAUUCUCUUGAGGAGGCUUUUCGCCAUCAAUAUCAACUCUAACUUCUUUUACUGGAUCUAUUUUGUAUGGGAUACACAGAGCGAGAGAGAGCAGAAAUUGUCAAAAUGAUUUUCCAUCAUAAAAAGGGAGAUGUUCGCAUGAUAAUUCUAUUCUGGUACAGCUAAACAGGUUUUGAGAUAAAAAGGAAUUAUCAAGAUAAAUAACGGUAGGAAGUUUUUACUCACUACUACCAGCAUCGCCUGUUGUCUUCUCCUCAGUCUUGUUGCACUGUCUUACAACAACAGCCAUGUGGCUGUGACCUUUCUGAAACUCAUUCAAUAUAUCAUAUAAUGGCAAACUUUCUUGAACCCUGGGAAUCCUACGUAUGGUGACAUUCUUUACAGGUGUUACAUCUUCUGGAUGAAUUGUCAAUAAAUUCUUGACCUAAAAAGAAUGAAAAAAAAAAUGCAUUUUAAAUAUUAAACAUUAUUAAGAAAAUAACAGAAAAACAAUAACAGAAAAACAAGAGAGUAGAAAUCAACCAAAAAUAACUGGCAACAAAUUUGUUACACGAGACCAAGAUGAAAGGGAUGAGAGUAAAGGCAAAAGACAAAGGAUGAAUCAAGUGUUUAGUAAGAUCAAUUAGCACACAAUCCACAAUUUCAUUUGGUUAUCCUUCCUAAUGUAAGUUGUAAUUUGCUUCCUUGUGGUUGGGCCUC